UACGGAGGGGGCAAGCGUUAUUCGGAAUUACUGGGCGUAAAGGGCUCGUAGGUGGCCAACUAAGUCAGACGUGAAAUCCCUCGGCUUAACCGGGGAACUGCGUCUGAUACUGGAUGGCUUGAGUUCGGGAGAGGGAUGCGGAAUUCCAGGUGUAGCGGUGAAAUGCGUAGAUAUCUGGAGGAACACCGGUGGCGAAGGCGGCAUCCUGGACCGACACUGACGCUGAGGAGCGAAAGCCAGGGGAGCAAACGGG
rnacentral:rRNA from 1 species